AUUACCAGCCAGGACGGCACAGAGUUAUCCCAGAACUCUAAAUGUGCGGCCCCGAGUCCAAGGACUCAGGGCUUUUUACAGCGAGCAAGCAGGCAAGUGGGCAGUGCAGAAGCAGAACUGAGCGGUUACUGCAAAAAGACUACAAAGUGAUAAAGAGAGCGGCCCUUAUCCUGGACAUAAGCUUCAUGAGGGCAGGAUUUCAUUCUGCUCACUGCCAUGUCCUCAGCUCCUAGAACGAUGCCUGAUGCACCAAAUGUGUCUUCAGAAUACAGUGAACUCUGGACGCCUGGCUGACUCAGUCGGCAGAGCAUAUGACCCUUGAUCUCAUGGUGAAAGGGUACAGAGGAUCCCAAAUAGGCACCACGCUGACAGUAGCAAGCCUGAUGUGGAGCCUGAACUCACGAACUGCAAGAUCAUAGCCUGAGCCAAAGCCAGACACUAAA